GAUGAACGCUGGCGGCGUGCCUAAUACAUGCAAGUCGAGCGAACGGACGAGAAGCUUGCUUCUCUGAUGUUAGCGGCGGACGGGUGAGUAACACGUGGAUAACCUACCUAUAAGACUGGGAUAACUUCGGGAAACCGGAGCUAAUACCGGAUAAUAUUUUGAACCGCAUGGUUCAAAAGUGAAAGACGGUCUUGCUGUCACUUAUAGAUGGAUCCGCGCUGCAUUAGCUAGUUGGUAAGGUAACGGCUUACCAAGGCAACGAUGCAUAGCCGACCUGAGAGGGUGAUCGGCCACACUAGAACUGAGACGCGGUCCAGACUCCUACGGGAGGCAGCAGUAGGGAAUCUUCCGCAGUAGGCGAAAGCCUGACGGAGCAGCGCCGCGUGAGUGAUGAAGGUCUUCGGAUCGUAAAACUCUGUUAUUAGGGAAGAACAUAUGUGUAAGUAACUGUGCACAGCUUGACGGUACCUAAUCAGAAAGCCACGGCUAACUACGUG
rnacentral:rRNA from 1 species